GCUAAAUUGAAAAAAAAAGAAAAAAAAAGAAAAAAGAAAGAAAGAAAAAAUCAACCGUAAUUCCGAUAUAAAUUCGUUUGUUAUGUUAUUGUAUUGUUCUAUUUAAAAUUAAAAUGACGUAAUGUUAAAUGUUAAAAUAGCAAACAUCUGAAAAGAUGAUGGCAAAUUCGCAGCAGGUUAAUCUGAGAAAAUACGUAAUGCUCAUCCACGCACACAUUAGACUUUGUGUAUGUGUGUAUGUGGUUGUGUGUGUGAUUAUGUUGCAAGAGAAAUAAGUCUCUGUGAUUUCUAAAAAGAAAGAAAAGAGAGAGAGAGAGAGAGAGAGAGAGAGAAAAAGAAAGAGAGAGAGAGAGAGAAAGGGAGAGAGAAAAAAACAGACGAUACAACACAUGUCAUCGGUUUCAUUCUGUAACAACGUUGAUCUCGGCAAGACACAUAAUGGACUAUCCGUUGAGGAUCAAUUUAUUAAGUGGGCACUGACGUUCGUGCGAUCGUCCCAACGUUAUUACUUUACUUGCGUCACUAUACGCCACAUGAAAAUACACACUAGUAGGUGCUAAGCACGAAACGACGAUUUACUGGGUGUGGAUUUGUUCCAUCGUUACGGAGAACAUUUGCAGUGAUCUUAUCACAUUUUUAUGCGGCUAUGGAUUGACUUUCUUUUCGUAAUAUUUUUAACGGCUCAUAAAAAAGAAAAAGAACAAAAAUAUAUAUAAAUAAUUGAAAACACGAUUUUCAUCAAAAAAUAUUUCACAUUCAAUUCUUAAUCCGAGCGUAUUAAAUCAAAAAAUUUAUUUUCAUAUUUGAUCUCACAUAAAAUCUUCGAAAUUUCAUCUCUUAUUGACAACGAAUACAACUGUCAUAUUAAAAAAAAAAAAAAAAAAAAUAUGUACAUAUACAUUUAAUCGUAUCGACAAAUAUUUUUACUUAAUUUAUCGUCUUUAACGAAAAAUUAAACUUUAAUUUUUGUUCACUUCGGCAUAGAAUUAAUAUUUUAUUCUUAAUAAAUUAUCGUUGAUUAAGUCGAUGUUUUGAUUACAAAUUUAUCAUGUAUACUGUUCUACGACACUAUAGAAAAGAACGGAAGUACGUAGUCAUGUAAGAUCGACAAGAGAAUAUCGAUCUCGACAUGCCGGUGAUCCAUGAUAAUAUUCAAUGUAAAUCAACGAUGCAUAGCACGUCAUCGGAAGACAUAACGAGAACAAGAAAAAAAAAGAGAGAGAGAAAAGAAAGAGAGAGGUAGAGGAAGAAAAAGAAAGAGAAGGACCUUUCCAAUUGGUAGUACCCGUAAUUAGAAUAGCUAAGCACGCAACUCUUUCUCUCUCUCUCUCUCUCUCUCUCUCUCUCUCUCUCUCUCUCUCUCUCUCUUUCUCUUUAUUUCUAAUCGUAGAACUCUUUUCAACAGCUAAAUAUAUUCCUCUUAUUUACUUCCAUUUAAAUAACAUGUUUCAUACGUUUCGUCAACACAGAUAUUAAUUAAUAUUAUUUUCAAAAAUCUUUAUUAAUUAUUCUAUAAAGUAGUUUAACUUCUGUUACUCAUUCGCCAUUAUCUAGUCAUUUAUCAUCAUUUUUUUCGUUUUCUCAUAUUAAUUAUUGAAAUAAAUUAUAUUGAUAUCACUCUCAAGUAAUAUUUUUUAACGACUUCAAAUCCAUCAUCAUCGUCAUCAAUUUUAAUGAAGUAGAAAGAGAAGAAGAAGACUAAAAAGAGGAAGAAGAAGGUCAUUCGUAUACUUGAUAUGGUCAGAACCGAAGAAGAGGGUAACUUGACUUUAAUCUCGAUACAAUAUUAACGCAUACGGAAUGCGGUCAGAAACAUUACAUAUGGAAACGUUCAUUACGUUUUGCUGCUUUGAAGAAAAUAGCGAAGGAUAUGUAUAUAUAAUACAUUGUAAAUCUCUUUGAAUGAUUUUAUUCUCAGAAUGUUCAUGUUACUCAUUGAUCUUCGAAAGGUUUGAGAAUAAGAAGAAAUAAACAAAGAAAAAAGAGAGAAAUGAAGAGAAGGAAAAAGACGUUCUUAUUAUUUAUAAAAUUAUAAUAUAUGUGUAUGUAUGUACGCUUAUGCAUGUGUGUCUAAAAGGAUAAUAAUUGAAGACUGAUAUAUUACAAUAAAAAUAACUUUUUGUUUAUAAGGAAAAAUUAAAGAAAUAUUCUCAUCGUUUGCCAAUGUAUAAUGUACAAAAAUAAUAAUUGGAAACUUAAUAUUAUAAUAAAUAUAUUUUCAUUCAUCAAAGAGAGAGAGAGAGAGAAAGAGAGAAACACACAUACACACAUAAAUAGGCAAACAACAGUUAGAAAGAUUUUUGUCAUUUGCAAAAGUAUAAUAUAAAAAAAAAUAAUAAUUGAAAACUAACACGUGUGUGUGACAAUAAAGAUAUCUCUUCGUUUGAAAAGCAGUCGAUCUCUUAUUCAACGUCGCCAUUCAAAAGAUAUUCCUUUUUCUGCAUUUGCUGUGGAAAAUCAAUAAACGCGCGCGUACACGACUAAUGUAUAUGGUAAGCUAUAAAUACAAAUUGUCAUUCCGCGCGGUCGAGUUUCUGUAGCCAUCAGAGAAGUUGUUCCUUUGAAUUCCCUUUCGCCGAAGACAUCCUUCGAAAUAGUAUAUAGCGUAGAUUGUAAAGUAUCUGCCGAGUUAUAUUUCUAUACAGGAUGUUCCACUUUGAUCGAUUCCACCUGAGUUUUAUACCUGAUGUUUUUGGAUAUAUGUGGAAAAUUUUCCACGAAAGACAUUACGUGGGUGUCGAUACAAUUCGUAUACUUCGUGAAAUGAUUUCGAAUGAAAUUGGUUGGAAUAACAAUCAAACGAAGCAGCUCGUAUUCUCGAACGGCGAAGAAAAACAAAGGAAUCGUGCUUAUCGUAACACGAUCGGCAUCGUAAACGGAACAAUGAAUUUCUCUAUCGUGAAGUAUAUCUUCUGACGUAACGAGUAUAAAAUACGAGACAACUGGUUCACAAAUUUGAUGUAUCUCUUCAAAUUAAAGUCCUUCACACAUGUAUCAACGUAAAACAAAAGACGUAAAAAAAAAUUUUAUAAGGAUGAAAUUUUUACGGCAUAUGUCUUAUGUUCAAUCAAUCACAUACCCUUCCCUGCAUUAAACCUGAUAUUUGAAUUUUUAUAGAUCCAACACGAUAACAAUAUACAGAUUUAAAUAUUAUGUACCUAUACAUUGCAAUAGAAAUUUUCAAAAGAGCAUUUGUGUUUUCGUUUAAUAAAAUGUUAAUCCUAUUAAUAGAAAAACAAAGAUGCAGAAGGCAACAAUUAACACUUAAGAAUGAUAUUUACGCGCUAUUUUUUUAUGAUCAUCUUUUAUUGAUCAAAAUUUAUGUCUUACGGCAGUUUUAUGUGAUGGCAUUUACAUACUACGAUUUACAUUUUACGUCUUAUGUAUUACAUCAAUGCAUAUGUGAACAUCUUUAACAUCAGAAUUUUGUUUAAAGUUCAUCAUGUACAUAUAUAUCUAUGAUCAUUAAUUCCUUGGUCCCUAUGGUAUUAUCUUAUAGCGAAAAAUAUCAAUAUAUUUCUGUAAUGUUUAUAUCUAACGAAAAUAUGACAAGCCAAUGAAAUAUAUCUAGAAACAAGCAAUAUGCCAAUAAUAACAAUUUUCUCAUCGAUGACAAUUUGUAAAUAAACAAGUCUGAAAACUGA